GAUGAACGCUGGCGGCGUGCCUAAUACAUGCAAGUCGAGCGAACGGACGAGAAGCUUGCUUCUCUGAUGUUAGCGGCGGACGGGUGAGUAACACGUGGAUAACCUACCUAUAAGACUGGGAUAACUUCGGGAAACCGGAGCUAAUACCGGAUAAUAUUUUGAACCGCAUGGUUCAAAAGUGAAAGACGGUCUUGCUGUCACUUAUGGAUGGAUCCGCGCUGCAUUAGCUAGUUGGUAAGGUAACGGCUUACCAAGACAACGAUGCAUAGCCGACCUGAGAGGGUGAUCGGCCACACUGGAACUGAGACACGGUCCAGACUCCUACGGGAGGCAGCAGUAGGGAAUCUUCCGCAAUGGGCGAAAGCCUGACGGAGCAACGCCGCGUGAGUGAUGAAGGUCUUCGGAUCGUAAAACUCUGUUAUUAGGGAAGAACAUAUGUGUAAGUAACUGUGCACAUCUUGACGGUACCUAAUCAGAAAGCCACGGCUAACUACGUG
rnacentral:rRNA from 1 species